UACAGAGGGGGCAAGCGUUGUUCGGAAUUACUGGGCGUAAAGAGCUCGUAGGCGGUUUGUCGCGUCGUCUGUGAAAACUCGAGGCUCAACCUCGAGCUUGCAGGCGAUACGGGCAGACUUGAGUACUGCAGGGGAGACUGGAAUUCCUGGUGUAGCGGUGAAAUGCGCAGAGAUCAGGAGGAACACCCGUAGCGAAGGCGGCACUCUGGGCCGAUACUGACACUGAGGAGCGAAAGCGUGGGGAGCGAACAGG
rnacentral:rRNA from 1 species